rnacentral:lncRNA from 1 species
AAUUGGGAGCAGUUCUCCCUUUUCCCCCACGAAGCAGCCCUAUCGGGCGCCGCCACCCCUGACUCGCCGCCAGGCCCGCCCCUCCCUCGCCGGCUCGCCGCCUGCGCAGCCACACAACCGCACCACCCCGCGUCGCCACUCCCGCAUCCCACCGUCCCGCGCGAUCUCUACUGGCGCCUGGGAAGAGGGUACGCUGCCGCCUGGUUCAACUCCGACCUCGCUGUUCCAGUACAGCGCCGACCAAAAUUCCCUCCGGUUGACCAGUCCAAGAACAGCCAACCAGGACGACGAGGACGCUCGACGGUCACCUCCAGACCUCUACUCCAGACCAGGACAUUCGGCCGACGCUGGUAAGAUCUCUCUCUGCUGUUCUGCACCUCCCCAUUCUUCUAUCAAUUAUCAAUCUUGAACUACUGAACCGAACUGUGUUGUGUUUGCUGUCCUGAUGAAAGUUGUUGAUUGUGUUGUGCAUUUCUUUGUCAAAUUGCAGGCUUGCAACCGUAGGAUGGAUUUGUUGCUUGCUGCUUGAUUUAGAGAAUAUCAUGUAUAUGAAUUAGUCAACUAGACAUUAUCAUGUAGUUGCAGGUUACAAUUGUCAUGUUACUACUAAUUUUGUUAUCUAUUGGUUGGUGUAUCCUAAACAGUAAGAUGGAGUUGUUACAAAUUCUUAUUUAGGUUUUGCACUUUGUUGUCUAUUGCGUCAAUCACGUGGAAGAGUCAAGUCUAUUGCAUUAACUAAACAAUCAUAUUUGCUAUCCAGUACAUGAACACACAGUCAUGUGAAGACAUACACAUAAUUUGCUAUCCAGUACAUGAACAGUUAACCAGUGACAUAAUAAUGAUUUGUCUGAUUGUUUCCAUUCUAACAAGUUACUCUAACAAAGCCACUCUACGAAAGUAACAAGGACACAUGUCUUCUUUGCACUUCUCAGCAUAUUUAUUGUGUAUGCUUCUCUUAUACUCCCUCCGUUCCUAAAUAUAAGUCUUUCUAGAUAUUUCAAACGGACUACCACAUACGGAUGUAUAUAGACAUAUUUUAGAGUGUAGAUUCACUCAUUUUACUCCGUAUGUAGUCACUUGUUGAAAUAUAUAGAAAGAAAAAUAUUUAGGAACAGAGGGAGUACAAAAUUGAUCAUUUUAGUAUGCACGUAAGACCAUAUUGAUCUAUUUGGAUGUGCUAUUAUUAAAUUAAUUAGAAUGUUGGCAUCUCAUUUUUGUUAUCACAUUUUUUUGGUGGACCGCCCUGUUUUGAAAUCCUAGAGCCGCCACUGCAUUGUAGGUAGACAUGUUAUUUUUGUACCUUGUUGCUCAGCGCAGUUACUAUAUUUCUUUUUGUUACACAGUGUAUCAAUGGAUUUAGAAUCUAUAAAGGAGCUAUUGCUUUCUCCUAGACCAGGUGAGGAAUGCUUGGCUGGUGUAGCUAGUUUUCUUGACUUUGCGUACAUAGAGGACAAGUCAAAGGAUAAUUUGAAGGCACGGCUAGACCUGCAAGACAUGAAAAUCAUGCCAGAGCUACAUCCCAAAAAUAAACCUAAGGACAAGUAUUUUCUUCCUGCUGCUUCUUAUACCAUGUCAAAGAGACAGAAGCAACAGUAUUGCAAACUACUUCAUGAUAUAAAAGUUCCAAAUAGGUACUCGGAGAACUCAAAAAAAUAGAAGGAACAGUUUUGCAAAGUACGUCAUGAUAUAAAAGUUCCAGAUGGGUCCUCGGGGAACUCAAAAAUCCGAAGGAACAUUUUGCAAAGUACUUAAUGAUAUAAAGGUUCCAGAUGGGUAUUUGACGGAAUGAUAUAAAGCCAAUUUUUUUUCUUUAUUGCCUUUUAGUUUCUCGUUUAUAUUUUCCAUUGAUGCUGCCAUUGUGGUAACUGUUAGUACUUCAUCCUUAUGGUCCUGAGAGUUACUUGGUUGAGAAUAUUAUGCAAAAUUUCAUGCACGACUCAAAUAACUUAUUGUUAAGAGAUGUAGCAGUAGCUCUGUGCUUUGCCUCGUGCCUUUUACUUGUUUUCUAAAGCUCUAUGAGAUGUUGUGUUCUGCUUGUUUUCUGAAGCUAUAUGAGAUGGUAUUCCCCUCUUAAUAAAGAUACUUUUUUUUCCUGGAGCUUCCUUUUAUUAGAAACAAAUGUUGUUUUCCAGGUAUAUUUCACUCUAGCAUGAUACACGAUACUAUUUUUGCUGGCCCUCUUGUGUUUCUGUCUAGUUUGUAUGGUUAAGCAUGUCUGUGCUGAAUCAUACAUGUUAUUAUCUAUACCUGACAAAUAGGAACUUAGCGUUAACUAAGAAAUCUCAUGUUCUACAUAAAGCACUAAGUUAACAGUAUGUUAUAAUUACAGACCAUAUCUGAAUUGAAUAUAUCUUGACUCUUUUGACUAGUAAUGAACUUCUUCAGUGAAUCUUAUUUUUCAGGAAAUUUUGCCACUGGAGAUUAGAAGGAUUGUUCUAAAUUGGUGCAUGAAGCUAUGCGUUCUUUUAGCGGACAUUUAUAUAUGUCUGCAUAGUUCUUGCUCUUCAACCAUGAAGCUUGAAAAAACCCAAAAAUUGUUCUGAGUUAAACUUCAUGUAUGACGGAUUGUCACUGGAAAUAGAUAGAUACUUUUGUGAAUGAAGUAUUAUGUCUCAUUUACCAUCUUGUAAACUAAGCUUACAUUUGUUUGAAAUUGAUGUUUUUAGUCAAAACUUGGAUGUCCGAUUCAACGUUUUCUUCUCUGUUGUUG